UCCAAUUUAGUGUAUUUUAUGUAAAUAUUUUUUGUGUUAAUUUAGAGUAAUUAUUUAUUAUUAUAUAAAUAACUCACUUGAUUUGCACUAUAUUAUACAAAAGAGAAGAAAAGCUAAAAAAAUGCAAAUCUACUUUUUGAAUCACUUAAAGAUAAACAUUAUAUAUUUUAUACUAUUUAUUAUUAUUAUUAUUAUUAUUAUUAUUAUUAUUAUUAUUAUGUGAAAAUGAAAUUAAAACAAUGUUACAGGUCCAAAAGAAAUCAAACACGAAGGAAUAUUAAAGGAAAGUAACAUGUGCCUUCUCAAGGGGUAAUUAGAGUCAAAAGUGGUGAUUAAAAGUGGAGUCUUAACAAUAACAAAAUUGAUUUGUCUUCCUUCUCAGUAAGAGAGGCGGCAGCAACACAAUGAAAAGGAUGGCAAGUUGAAAAAGGUCUGACAAAGCUUAAAAUCAAGUGGAGCUUAAAAUCAAGUGGAUUAGCGGUGAUACAAGACUUAAUAUUGAAGAUUUGCGAAGGCGGCUAAGCAAUUGGAAGGCAAGGAGUAUAAAUAGAGCUCUUUGGUAAACACUGGGGGUAUGCUUUCUUAUGUUCUGUAACACAGCUGGGAGAGGAAAAUUGGAAAAGCUUUGGAUUGAAGAUUAAAACUUUGGAGCAACAUAUUUUCUUCAUUCUAGGGUUAUUUCUUACUCUUAAUUUCAUGAAUUCAACUUUUAUGUUGGUGUUCUUUUUGAUUAUGGAUAGCUAAAUACUAUUCUAGGGUUUAUGGUGAAUCUUGCAAUUAAAAUUCCUUUUGCUAUGUCUUAGCUUAUAUGUUCUAGUUUCUAAUUUAAAUUUCGAUAUUUUGUUCAAUUAAUGUUAUCCUAUUGAUUUUAUCACAUGAUUAGGAAUGAUCAACCUAUGAAUGUUUACAAUCAAUUGAUUGAUCAGCGACCGUACUGCAGUUAAUUGGUGGACCUAUAGGAUAAAUGAGACUUAGAUUAUUGCAUGACCAAACCUUAAUCUUAGUCUUCCAAUCAUUCAACCUUUUUUUGCUUUAUGCUUUUCUUAAAUUUCAACUCUUUGCAUGACCAAACAAAGGUUAAUUUAGGAAAAAGAAUAUUAAUCACGAAUGACCAAACGGAUUAAUAGUUUUAGUAAAGGGAUUGGUAAUUGAAUUAAAAUAAAGGAAUUCAAAUGGAACUAGACAUAGGGAACCGAAUAUUGCAAGUGAAACCAUGACCCUAGACCUCUCUCUAUUGGUUUACAACUUCACGUUUUUAUUCUUGUUCUUAUUCUUACUAGUCAUUAUUUUCUCUUUAGUUUUCAUGACAAUUCAACUACUCGUUAGUUUAAAUAAUAAAUAAUCUUAACUAGUUUGGUGUUUGUUAAUUAAUCCCUGUGGAUACGAUAAUCUUUUAUACUACUUCUGCGCUAGAGUACACUUGCUCUAAGUGUGUUUUUAACGCAACAAGUUUUUGGCGCCGUUGCCGGGGAUUAAUAUAGCAAUAUUGGACGAAAGAGAUUUUUAUUACUUUAGACAUUUUCUUUUUCUUUGUUCUUAUUUUUUGUUUUUCUGUUGUUUUUAUUUUAGUGUUAUUAUUACUCGUGCAUGCUCACCCGCUCUAAGGAGCCUGUUUUGCUUUUUGAUUCAGAAAUUGAAAGAACUGCUCGUAGAAACAGAGCAAAGAGUAGAGCAAUGGCUGAAAUUCCUAGAAGAACGCUUCGGGACUACUUCACUCCCUCAACAAAUAUCACUACCAGCAUAGUCAAUCCACCUGUGCAAGCCAACAAUUUUGAGCUGAAACCGGGGUUAAUUCAAAUGAUCCAGAAUUCAACAUUUAGGGGCUCGCCAACUGAAGAUCCGAAUGCCCAUCUUAAGAACUUUAUAAGAGUGGCAGACUCGGUAAAAUGCAAUGGGGUCACACCUGAAGCCAUUAGAAUGCGACUAUUUCCAUGGUCAUUGGCUGACAAAGCAACUACAUGGCUAGAUUCUAUGCCUAAUGAUUCUAUCACUACAUGGGAGCAAUUGUCACAAAAGUUUUUGAACAAAUACUUUCCUCCGGGAAAGGCCGCCAAGAUUCGGGCUGAAAUCACAAACUUCUCUCAAUAUGAAGAAGAAUCAUUACAUGAAGCAUGGGAAAGACUUCAAGACAAGCUCCGAAGUUGCCCUCACCAUGGAUUCGAGAAGUGCCGAAUACUUGAAAUUUUGUACAAUGGAUUGUCAACUCAGAAUCGGGGAAUUAUCGAUUUAGCUUGUGGAGGUUCUAUGCUAAAUAAAGAGGCCGAUGAAGUGUAUAAUUUAGUUGCAGAGAUAACUGCUGACAGUGCUCAGUGGGCCACAAAUGAUAGACACUCAAAGAAGCCGGCUGGGAUGUACAAAGUCAAUGCUGAAACCAACUUUGACAUAAAGCUAGAUGCCAUUUCUAAACAAAUUGAGGCAUUGAAGAUGGAACAAGCGCAGCCAGCUCCCACAUUCCACUCAAUUGAUGACAACACAGGAAACCCAUGGGCCAGCCUAACUGAGGAAGCCAAUUUUCUCGGCCAUAAGAAAAGUGACCUGAGGCCCGGCAUGCAAGAUUCCUUGAUCAGAUACAUGGAGAAGGUCGGACAUCCAUGCAUGGGUGUAUUGGCCAACUAUAUGAAUAAAACUGAUGAAAGACUUCAAUCCAUUGAAGACUUGAUAAAAGCACAAGGUCAACGCGCUCCCGCAACCGAAGAGGCCAAUUAUAUUCACAAUUCCAACCGAAACCAAAAUGAUCCUUAUUCAAACACAUACAACCAAGGUUGGAGAAAUCACCCCAAUUUGUCAUGGGGUGGACAACAGAAAUGGCAAAAUUCUAAUUUCUAUAAGCCACCACAUGUUCAAAUGCAAGAGGAAAAGAAGCUGGAAGCCAAUGAUGUCUUGGUCAAGUUUAUGGAGCAGACAAAUGAAAAAUUUGGAACCAUGGAAGGUCAUAUCUCAAGUAUCCUUACCUUGUUAUCACAAAGGACUCAAGGAUCACUACCUACUCAAACCGAGCCUAAUCCAAAGGAGAAGAAUGAACAUUGCAAGGCUGUCACACUUAGAAGCGGCAAAGAGCUAAAUCAAGGAAACAACCAAGAUAGGUGCGUGCCUGAGAAAAAAGAAGAAGCUCUUACUGAAGAGAGCACUUUUGAGGAUCACAACAAAGCAAAAGAGAAAGAUGAGCCAGUAAAGGUAAGUGUUCCUUUUCCUCAAAGACUUAGAAAUAAACAUCAUGAUAAACAAUUUGCUAGGUUUCUUGAAAUAUUUAAGAAAUUGCAUAUUAACAUUCCUUUUGCUGAAGCUAUUGCUCAAAUGCCUAAAUAUGCUAAAUUUUUAAAAGAAAUUAUUUCCAACAAAAAGAAGCUAGAAGGCUUUGAGACAGUUGAACUUACUGAGGAAUGUUCUGCUAUAGUUUUGAAAAAAUUACCACCUAAGCUUAAGGAUCCCGGUAGUUUUAAUAUCCCUUGUACAAUUGGUAACUCUCAUUUUGAUAAGGCAUUGUGUGAUCUAGGGGCAAGUAUAAAUUUAAUGCCUUUGUCUGUGUUUAGAAAACUUGGCUUGCAGGAACCAACACCUACAAACAUCUCUUUACAAUUAGCUGACAGAUCCAUAGCUCACCCUCGCGGGAUAGUGGAAGAUGUUUUGGUAAAAGUAGAUAAAUUUAUUUUUCCUGCAGAUUUUGUAGUGUUAGACAUGGAAGAGGAUGAGGACGUUCCAAUAAUUUUGGGACGACCCUUUUUAGCAACCGGAGAUGCCAUAAUUGAAGUUAAAAAGGGGAAAUUGACCUUGAAAUUAGGAGAAGAAGAAGUUGUAUUUCAAGUUUUUAAUUCAUUGAAAAAUCCUUCUUCAUUUGCUUCAUGUAAUUUUAUUCAAACCAUUGAUAUUAAUGAUAUGAUUACUUCUGACGUGUUUGAUGACUUUAGGGAGCAAGAUCCUCUAGAAAAAGUACUUACCGUGCAGGGCCUUGGUAUGAUAGAGGGUGGUGAAGAAGAAGAGUUUUUAAAGUUUUUGCAGGCUCACCACCCUCAAAAGAAUUGGAGUAAUCAUAGAUUUGAGGACUUGGAAUUGGGAAAUACUCCAAAGCCUAAACCGUCAAUUGAAGAGGCACCUGAGCUUGAAUUAAAGCCUCUUCCCUCGAACAUGAAAUAUGUUUUUUUGAAUCCCCCUUCCUCUUUGCCUGUGAUAAUUUCUGCAGAUUUGACAGAUACGAUGGAGGAACAACUUUUAAGAGUAUUGAGGGAAAACAAAGAGGCCUUUGGAUGGUCAAUUCAUGAUAUAAAAGGCAUUAGUCCCUCAAUUUGCACUCAUCGGAUAUACAUGGAGGAUGAUUACCAACCUCGUGCACUACCACAACGCCGAUUGAAUCCUAACAUGAAAGAGGUUGUAAAAAAUGAAGUGAUUAAGCUUCUUGAUGCAGGUAUUAUCUAUCCUAUUUCAGAUAGUAAAUGGGUAAGUCCUGUACAAUGUGUUCCUAAAAAGGGAGGUACUACUGUAAUGGAAAAUGAUAAAAAUCAAUUGAUUGCAGUUAGAAAAACUAUUGGGUGGCGUAUGUGUAUUGACUUUAGAAAAUUAAACGAUGCCACCCGAAAAGAUCAUUUCCCCCUUCCUUUUAUUGAUCAAAUGCUUGAGAGAGUGGCAGGGCAUGAAUAUUAUUGUUGUUUGGAUGGUUAUUCCGGUUAUUUGCAAAUACCAGUGGCUUUACAAGAUCAAGAAAAAACCACUUUUACUUGCCCAUAUGGUACUUUUGCAUAUAAAAGAAUGCCAUUCGGUUUAUGUAAUGCCCCUGCCACUUUCCAAAGAUGCAUGAUGGCUAUUUUCUCUGAUUUAAUUGAAAAAUGCAUUGAGAUAUUUAUGGAUGAUUUUACUGUAUUUGGAUCCUCUUAUGAAAAUUGUUUGCAUAACUUGAAUCUAGUGUUGCAGAAAUGCAGGGAGACUAAUUUAGUACUUAAUUGGGAGAAGUGUCAGUUUAUGGUGCAAGAAUGCAUUAUUUUGGGACACAAAGUGUCCAAUAAAGGCAUCGAGGUGGAUCCUGCAAAGGUUGAGGUAAUUUCUAAAUUACCACCUCCGAGUUCUGUUAAGGGGGUGCGUAGCUUUUUAGGCCAUGUUGGCUUUUAUAGGAGGUUUGUCAAAGAUUUCUCAAAAAUUUCAAAACCCAUGACUAAUCUCUUACUUAAAGAGGCUACUUUUAAUUUUUCUGACAGUUGUUUGAAAGCUUUUAAUUGUUUAAAAGAAAAAUUAAUUAGUGCCCCUAUUGUUGUUGCCCCUGAUUGGUCACUCCCCUUUGAGAUCAUGUGUGAUGCAAGUGAUAGCGCUGUAGGGGCAGUUUUGGGGCAAAGAAAGAAUAAGGUAUUUUACACUAUUUACUAUGCUAGUCGCACUCUUGAUGAUGCUCAAAGAAAUUACACUACCACAGAAAAAGAGUUACUAGCGGUGGUUUUUGCAUUUGAUAAAUUUCGUCAUUACCUCAUUCUUUCUAAAGUAAUUGUUUACACUGACCAUGCUGCUAUUAGAUAUUUGCUUGGUAAACAGGAUGCAAAGCCUAGGCUGAUUCGGUGGAUUUUGUUGUUACAAGAAUUUGAUUUAGAAAUUAGAGAUAAGAAAGGCUCGGAGAACUUUGUAGCUGACCACCUCUCACGGCUUGACCAUACCGUGAUGCAACCUUCAAAUGACGGGGAGAUCAAGGAGAUGUUCCCUGAUGAGAGGCUUUUAGCUAUUUCAAACUAUCCAUGGUUUGCAGAUAUUGUUAACUACUUGGUCGGUAAGGCAGUCCCGCCCCACUUUUCAUAUCAGCAAAAGAAUAAAUUAAUUUCUGAUGCUAGGCAGUACUUAUGGGAUGAUCCUUACCUAUUUAAAGUAUGUGGAGACCAGGUAAUUAGGCGUUGUGUGCCUAUGGAAGAGGUAACUUCUAUCCUUGAGCAUUGUCAUUCUAAAGAGGCAGGUGGCCAUUUUGGGCCAAAUAGGACUGCAUAUAAAGUUUUGCAGUCUGGUUUUUAUUGGCCUACUAUUUUUAAAGAUGCUCAUGAGUUUGUUAAAUCAUGUGAUAACUGCCAGAGAAGUGGUAAUAUUUCUAAGCGUCAUGAGAUGCCAUUGAAUAAUAUUUUGAUUUGUGAACUUUUUGAUGUUUGGGGUAUUGAUUUUAUGGGUCCCUUUCCUAAAUCAUUUUCAAAUCAAUAUAUUCUUGUUGCUGUAGAUUAUGUGUCUAAGUGGGUGGAAGCUUCAGCCUUACCCACUAAUGAUGCUCGGGUUGUAGUGAAAUUUUUAAAGAAAAAUAUUUUUACUCGUUUUGGCACUCCCCGAGCUAUUAUUAGUGACGGUGGCACUCAUUUUUGCAAUAAACAAUUUGAAUCACUCUUAAACAAAUAUGGUGUCACCCAUAAGGUAUCAACUCCAUACCAUCCACAAACUAGUGGACAAGUUGAAAUUUCAAAUAGAGAAUUGAAAAGAAUUUUAGAGAAGACUGUUAAUGCAUCUAGAAAAGAUUGGUCUUUAAAAUUGGAUGAUGCAUUAUGGGCAUAUAGGACUGCAUUUAAAACUCCUAUUGGAAUGUCUCCUUACCGCCUUGUUUUUGGUAAAUCAUGUCAUUUGCCUGUUGAAUUAGAGCAUAAAGCACUUUGGGCUUUAAAAUUUCUUAACUUUGAUGCUCAGCUUACAGGUGAAAACAGGUUGCUGCAGUUGGAUGAAUUGGAUGAACUCCGUCUCGGAGCAUAUGAAAAUGCAAAGUUAUACAAAGAGCGCACUAAAAAGUGGCACGACAAGCGUAUUCAGUUGCGUGAGUUUCAAAUUGGUGACAAAGUAUUAAUCUAUAACUCACGGCUGCGUCUUUUUCCUGGAAAGUUGCGCUCAAGAUGGUUUGGACCUUACACUGUCACUCAAGUUUUUCCACAUGGAGCACUUGAGGUCUCUAGAGAAGAUGGAACCACUUUCAAAGUCAACGGACAGCGUGCAAAGCAUUACGAGGAAGGGUUGCUCCAAGUGAGCUAUGCCACUCUCCUCAGUGAUUGAAAGCUUUUUUCAGGGAAGUUUUUUUGAUACCCUCUCACACUUAUUUAUGUUAGUUUGUCCAUUUACAUACUUUUUUUUUUUUUCUUGCAUUGAGGACCAUGCUUAUUGCUAGUGUGGGGGAGGUAUUAUUAGGUACUAUAUUUAGGUAUUAUUAGGUACUAUAUUUUGACAGUGCCUUUUAUUAGUUUUGUUGAUGGCAUUUUUCUGGCUUGUUUUGAUUAAAAUUAUGUUUAAAAAUAGAGAUCAUGCCUUUGAGGGACCCUAAAAAAAAAAAAAAAUUAUUUGACAGACUGGUUCAAUGUUAUAUUGGGGUUGUCUUUUGAAAGCUAAUAAUUAGCAUAAUGUGCUAUGUGGACUAUCUUUUUGUGAACCAAACUUCUAUAUGUGAGAUUUGAGCCUUUAUAAGGGGAUUACUUGUUAAAGUAUAAAUUCUAACCCCUUCUUUUUGUGUGAGUGUGAGUGUGUUUCCCAUUUUGUCACAUUCUAGAACUUGUCUUGUGACCGUGCUAAAGCGAAAAUUGAUCUGCAUCAUGUGAAAAAUGUUGGGGCAUUUGUAGGUAUUUUUUUCUGGCCUUUAAUUUUAUUGUUUUGAAAUCAUCCUUAGUUGCCCACUUUGAGCCUAUUUAUUAUGCAUUUCCUUGGUACCUUGAUAUGAUUAAAUAUUUUUCUUUUUUUUUUGGUAACCACUUGGAAUUGAAAAUGGAGCAAACUAUUGAAAAUAAAAGAGAAUUGUCAUAUAUUUGAGAUGUUCAUGUAUUUUGUUGAGCUGAAAAUAAAAAUUCCAAAUUUGAGCUGCUCAUGUGUACUCUAUGUAUAACUAGAAAAAAAAUGGCUCUGGUGUUUGUAAUGAAAAAAAAAAAAAAAAAAAAAAAAAAAAAGAGAAAAAAGGGAUGAUGAUAGUAAAAGAAGAAAAGAAGUAGCUUGUGUGGAUUAUUGUGAAUACUUCCUUCUAAAGAAAGAAAGAAAAAAAAAAAAUUGCAAAAUGAGAAAUUAAGAAAAAAAGUUUUAGGACCACACUCUGUCUGAAAGAAAAAAUGAAAGAAGUAAUAGUUUUGGAGUUGAGCAAAAUUGUGAAAAUAUAUAGGAGCUCCAUUUUUGUUUCAAAGGUUACUAUUUGUUUCUUGUUUUCUUACCCCUUUGAUUAUCCAUUUCUUCUUAUAUCCCACCUUACACAACUUAACCAUGGCCCCGUUACAACCCGUAAGACCUCAACUUUUGCAUGCAUGUAGACUAUUUAGUGGAGAUAUCGGUCAAAUUACAAGCUUAUGGUAAUGUGCAUUUUGUGGAAACUUGAGUGCUUAUUUGCCUAGUCCCUAAACACUUUAGAGAGAUUGUGAGAAUGUCCUUGUUCAUUUAAAGAUAGUUUUCAUGGACAUUAAAAGUCUCUAAUUGGGCAAAUUUUUGACAUCUCAUAUAUCAUAUAUUGUCUGUCAUUGUUGAUUAUAAUUUUUGGUCUCUCAUUUGGCUAUCUCUGUCUUCCUUUUUGAAAAUGUAGUAAGCCAGGAAAUUUGCUUGAGGACAAGCAAAGGUUAAGUGUGGGGGAGUUGAUAAACUCCAAUUUAGUGUAUUUUAUGUAAAUAUUUUUUGUGUUAAUUUAGAGUAAUUAUUUAUUAUUAUAUAAAUAACUCACUUGAUUUGCACUAUAUUAUACAAAAGAGAAGAAAAGCUAAAAAAAUGCAAAUCUACUUUUUGAAUCACUUAAAGAUAAACAUUAUAUAUUUUAUACUAUUUAUUAUUAUUAUUAUUAUUAUUAUUAUUAUUAUUAUUAUUAUGUGAAAAUGAAAUUAAAACAAUGUUACAGGUCCAAAAGAAAUCAAACACGAAGGAAUAUUAAAGGAAAGUAACAUGUGCCUUCUCAAGGGUAAGAGAGGCGGCAGCAACACAAUGAAAAGGAUGGCAAGUUGAAAAAGGUCUGACAAAGCUUAAAAUCAAGUGGAGCUUAAAAUCAAGUGGAUUAGCGGUGAUACAAGACUUAAUAUUGAAGAUUUGCGAAGGCGGCUAAGCAAUUGGAAGGCAAGGAGUAUAAAUAGAGCUCUUUGGUAAACACUGGGGGUAUGCUUUCUUAUGUUCUGUAACACAGCUGGGAGAGGAAAAUUGGAAAAGCUUUGGAUUGAAGAUUAAAACUUUGGAGCAACAUAUUUUCUUCAUUCUAGGGUUAUUUCUUACUCUUAAUUUCAUGAAUUCAACUUUUAUGUUGGUGUUCUUUUUGAUUAUGGAUAGCUAAAUACUAUUCUAGGGUUUAUGGUGAAUCUUGCAAUUAAAAUUCCUUUUGCUAUGUCUUAGCUUAUAUGUUCUAGUUUCUAAUUUAAAUUUCGAUAUUUUGUUCAAUUAAUGUUAUCCUAUUGAUUUUAUCACAUGAUUAGGAAUGAUCAACCUAUGAAUGUUUACAAUCAAUUGAUUGAUCAGCGACCGUACUGCAGUUAAUUGGUGGACCUAUAGGAUAAAUGAGACUUAGAUUAUUGCAUGACCAAACCUUAAUCUUAGUCUUCCAAUCAUUCAACCUU